AAGAACCUGUAUUCUACUUUCAGCGGUCCUUAAAAAAUAAUCCAUGGUGGGUUAUUGACAGCUUUAUUAAACAGCUUUCUCAGCAACUACAGGAACACCCGCCACCAGGGCAGUGAGACUGGGUUAUGUGCAGGUGACUUCCCAGCACAAGACCCCAGACAACAUGUCAUCCCACCCGCCCAGGGCUGCUACUUUUCCUCAACAAACAAUGGAAAGCAGGAACGUCAGAUAAACUGUGUUGCUUCACUCAUCAGCAAAGGAAUUGCCAGAGUAGCCAAUCUUGCCCCAGGCCUCUGUGCCCUGGCUUUAGUCUGCGAAACCCCAGGAGUGAGCAUGGUUACAGCAGUCUCACCUGCAGCCUUCUGACAAUUUCUUUGAUAUCUUCACCGCUAAUGAAGCUCUCCACCGACACACAUUCUCCCCGCUCAUAGAAGAUUUUGAGGCUGGUGUCGCUGGAAGUCCACCCUAUGACAUCUCUGCAGGAGCAAUUGAAAGCCACACUCUUUGUCUCCUGCUCAAUGAGGACGAUGAACUCGCUGGAGAUCCCAAGGAGGCAGUCGAACUCCAUGGCCUUGUUGUAGUCUUUGGCCCGGACAGCCCACACAAUGGCCCCCAUGCUACUGAGCUCAGCUCCUGGAUAAGGCUUAGACUUUUCCUUCUUCUUGGAGGCCAGAGAAAUAAAUGGAAACUUGCCAGAAGGGUCAAUAGGUGUGUUGGUGACAUUCUUUUCUGCCAGAUCUUUCAGGUAUUCCUGGCGGGUCCUUGUCGCCAUGGCCCGGAACUUCUCUGAUUUAUGAGCAGCAUUUUCUGCAUUUAUCACUUUGGCCAAAAGGAAGUCCCUGAACACAUUUGACUUGGGGAAGGUGACCCCUUUAGGGAUGGGAGGUCCAAAAGAAGGUACAUCUCUGGACCUGGUGACUGCCACACUGAGAGACAAAGCAAAGGACAAAGGAUGAGAGGUGUGUCAGUAUGUCUGUCUUCUAUUACACCAUGGGGACGUGGGGACAUGGGGACAUGUGGCCGGGGCUGGUCCAGUGCAGACAUGCAAGACUCUGGGUUCCCCGUCCUAAGGAAAGGGGAUGCGCAUGUUAGUUAAGACAAUCCUCAUUCUGGUCAAGAAAGAACACAAACUUCUGCUUAAUUAGUCAACUUGUUAGUUUACUUCAGUUUUUUCCAGGCAGACUCUUUUUACCUUAAAGUUUCAACUUCACUUCUUUAGCAGGUAGGAGACUAACUGUAAGAUCAUGGUGGUUAGUCAUGCUGGCUUACUGUAAUGUUCCACACACCAGAAUAAAAGCUAUUUU
rnacentral:lncRNA from 1 species